AAGCAAGUUGGGACAAUGUUGAAGACAUUUGCUCGCACUGGGCAAUCAGGUGCAGAUCAAACCCUAAUGCUGCGACGUCUUGGAGUUUGGCGAUGUUGUGCGUAGCAUGGACAACAAAAUGCUAUGCUGCAACAUUUCAGUGCCAAUGUGUCUGUUGGAGAGUUAUCCCUGCCAGGGGAUCUGUUACUCCCCCCUAGACACCCAGGAAGAUUUGGCGUUGCUUGACAACAGUUUGAGGCAGGAUAAAGAGCUCCAGCAACGAUUUCUUCGGUUUUUGGCAAUCAAAUGUGGGAGGGACCUAAAGACAACCGUGUGGUGAAUGCUUCAGAGUAUCUUCUCUAAUCACCUUUCCAUCAAUACAACCUGGACUGGUGUAGGGGAU